rnacentral:rRNA from 1 species
GACGAACGCUGGCGGCGUGCUUAACACAUGCAAGUCGAAUGGAAAGGCCCUGCUUUUGUGGGGUGCUCGAGUGGCGAACGGGUGAGUAACACGUGAGUAACCUGCCCUUUACUUUGGGAUAACUUCAGGAAACUGGGGCUAAUACCGGAUAGGAGCUCCUGCUGCAUGGUGGGGGUUGGACAGUUUCGGCGGUUGGGGAUGGACUCGCGGCGUAUCAGCUUGUUGGUGGGGUAGUGGCUUACCAAGGCUUUGACGGGUAGCCGGCCUGAGAGGGUGACCGGCCACAUUGGGACUGCGAGACGGCCCAGACGCCUACGGGAGACAGCAGUAGGAAAUAUUGCACAAUGGACGGAAGGCUGAUGCAACAACGCCGCGUGCGGGAUGACCGCCUUCGGGUUAUAAACCGCUUUCGCCUGUGACGAAGCGUGAGUGACGGUAAUGGGUGAAGAAGCACCGGCUAACUACGUG